rnacentral:rRNA from 1 species
UACGUAGGCAGCGAGCGUUGUUCGGAGUUACUGGGCGUAAAGGGUGUGUAGGCGGCCUUCUAAGUUUGGUGUGAAAUCUCCCGGCUCAACUGGGAGGGUGCGCCGAAUACUGAAGGGCUAGAGUGCGGGAGAGGAGAGUGGAAUUCCUGGUGUAGCGGUGAAAUGCGUAGAUAUCAGGAGGAACACCGGUGGUGUAGACGGCUCUCUGGACCGUAACUGACGCUGAGACACGAAAGCGUGGGUAGCAAACAGG